rnacentral:rRNA from 1 species
GCGCUUAACACAUGCAAGUCGCACGAGAAAGUGGAGCAAUCCAUGAGUACAGUGGCGUACGGGUGAGUAACACGUGGAUCAUCUACCUCUUAGUGGGGAAUAACCCUGGGAAACCGGGGCUAAUACCGCAUAAGCUCGAGAGAGGAAAGCAGCAAUGCGCUGAGAGAGGAGUCCGCGGCCGAUUAGCUAGUUGGCAGGGUAAAAGCCUACCAAGGCAAAGAUCGGUAGCCGGCCUGAGAGGGCACACGGCCACACUGGCACUGAAACACGGGCCAG